AGUGUAAUUUCAGGACCAAAAUUAUGUACUAAAAAUUGUAACUCCUUCUUUUUUUUUUCAUUAUAAUUUAAGUUCUGGGGUACAUGUGCAGAACGUGCAGGUUUUUUACAUAGGUAGACACGUGCCAUGGUGGUUUGCUGCACCCAUCAACCCGUCAUCUACAUUAGGUAUUUCUCCUAAUGCUGUCCCUCCUCUACCCACAUCCCCACCUACAGGCCCCAGUGUGUGACGGGUGUUCCUCUCCCUGUGUCCAUAUGUUCUCAUUGUUCAGCUCCCACUUAUGAGUGAGAACAUGCGGUGUUUGGUUUUCUGUUCUUGUGGCUCUAUACCUCUGAAUAACAUAUGUCUUUUGGCUCAUUUCAGGUGACAGUGUGCUGAGAAUUAGGGAGGACUGAGAAGACACAUUCAUCAGAUUAUUAGGUUGAUGCCAAAGUAACUGUGGUUUUUGCCAUUACUUUAGCACCAACCUAAUACCAUCACCUGAUGGUCUUUCAACAGUGGCCAGAAUCACCUCAUUGCUGAUCCCUCCUAUUCCGAGUGAACCUGCAUGAAGAUAAAACACUAUGGACCUAUAAAAAAAAUCAUGCUACCUGUAAUUAAAAACAGAAAAACAAAAUUGGCUCUCACUACUGUUCCAUGCUCAUUAGUGCUAGAUGCUAAAUAAAAUGUGUUCAGCACACGAGGACCAGUAUUCUGUCUGCAGCAAAGAGUGAGCAUUUUAUUUUUUUGUCUUUGGACCUUAUAAGAACAACAAAAAAAAAUUAUUUAGAAAAGUCAAGCUACUCUAGAGAAUUACUCAAGUAGUUUA
rnacentral:lncRNA from 1 species